rnacentral:tRNA from 1 species
GCUCCGGUGGCGAAACUGGCAAACGCUGCGGACUUAAAAUCCGCUGGGAUAUUUUCCCUUGUGGGUUCGAUCCCCACCCGGAGCA